AUUGAACGCUGGCGGCAUGCCUUACACAUGCAAGUCGAACGGCAGCACGGGUGCUUGCACCUGGUGGCGAGUGGCGAACGGGUGAGUAAUACAUCGGAACGUACCUUAUCGUGCGGGAUAACGCAGCGAAAGCCGUGCUAAUACCGCCUACGCCCUGAGGGGUAAAGCCGGGGAUCGAAAGACCUCGCUCGAUGAGAGCGGCCGAUGCCUGAUUAGCUUGUUGGUGGGGUAAAAGCCCACCAAGGCGACGAUCAGUAGCUGGGCUGAGAGGACGAUCAGCCACACUGGGACUGAGACACGGCCCAGACUCCUACGGGAGGCAGCAGUGGGGAAUUUUGGACAAUGGGGGCAACCCUGAUCCAGCAAUGCCGCGUGAGUGAAGAAGGCCUUCGGGUUGUAAAGCUCUUUUGUCAGGGAAGAAACACCGGCUCUAACACAGUCCGGGAAUGACGGUACCUGAAGAAUAAGCACCGGCUAACUACGUGCCAGCCGCCGCAGUAA
rnacentral:rRNA from 1 species